rnacentral:rRNA from 1 species
AUGGGCACUACUCCCAGCUCGGCUCACAAUUUUGCAGUUCGGUGUUAUGAAAACUUGAGAAACAGACUUAAUCAUGUUGAUGAGGUGAUGAAAAAGCAAACUAAGAAGCGGGUUCUUGAUGCAAGACUAAGGCUAAAGACUUCCAUUGAUGCCAUGAGGUGGCUAAUGUUUCAAGCAUGUCCCUUCAGAGGAAAUGAUGAGUCUGAGGAUUCCAAGAACCAAGGUAAUUUCAAGGAAAUGAUUAAGCUUUUGGCGUCUUAUAACAAGGAUGUACAUGAAGUUGUACAGAAUGCUCCAAGAAAUGCAAAGUACACCUCAGCAACUAUUCAAAAGGAAAUUGCUAGCAUAUUUGCUGGAAAAGUGAAAACCUCAAUUAAAGAAGAACUUGGUAAUAGCAAAUUCUCUAUCUUGGUUGAUGAAUGUAGAGACGAGUCUAAAAAAGAGCAGAUGGCAGUAGUUCUUCGAUUUGCAAACAUAGAAGGGGUGAUAAGAGAACAUUUUCUUGAUCUUGUUCAUGUUAGAGACACUAGUGCUUUGACUCUCAAGAACACAAUUAUUGCCGUCCUAGUUGAUAAUGGGUUGAAUGUGCAAGAUAUUAGAGGCCAGGGAUAUGACGGGGCAAGCAACAUGAGGGGGGAGUGGAAUGGGCUGAAAGCUCUAAUUCUCAAAGAGUGCCCUUAUGCAUACUAUAUCCAUUGUCUUGCACAUCAACUCCAAUUGGCUCUUGUUGCUGCUUCAAGGGAGGUACAUGAGGUCCAUAAUUUUUUUCAGCAUGCAAAUUUCAUUGUAAAUACAGUUAGUGCAUCUCCCAAACGGAAUGAUGAACUGUUAGAAAAUCAGGCUGCUGAAAUUGCUAGUGAGAUUGAAUUGGGAGAGCUUGACACAGGAAGAGGGGCCAAUCAAAUAGGUUCUUUACAAAGGGCCGGAGACACGAGAUGGAGUUCCCACUACAAAUCUAUCAAAAGUUUGUUAAAGAUGUUUGCCGCAACUGUUACAGUGCUAAGAAGUGUAGCAGCUGAUCGUUGA